rnacentral:rRNA from 1 species
CGACCUUGAAAUACCACCCUUUAAUGUUUGAUGUUCUAACGUUGACCCGUAAUCCGGGUUGCGGACAGUGUCUGGUGGGUAGUUUGACUGGGGCGGUCUCCUCCUAAAGAGUAACGGAGGAGCACGAAGGUUGGCUAAUCCUGGUCGGACAUCAGGAGGUUAGUGCAAUGGCAUAAGCCAGCUUGACUGCGAGCGUGACGGCGCGAGCAGGUGCGAAAGCAGGUCAUAGUGAUCCGGUGGUUCUGAAUGGAAGGGCCAUCGCUCAACGGAUAAAAGGUACUCCGGGGAUAACAGGCUGAUACCGCCCAAGAGUUCAUAUCGACGGCGGUGUUUGGCACCUCGAUGUCGGCUCAUCACAUCCUGGGGCUGAAGUAGGUCCCAAGGGUAUGGCUGUUCGCCAUUUAAAGUGGUACGCGAGCUGGGUUUAGAACGUCGUGAGACAGUUCGGUCCCUAUCUGCCGUGGGCGCUGGAGAACUGAGGGGGGCUGCUCCUAGUACGAGAGGACCGGAGUGGACGCAUCACUGGUGUUCGGGUUGUCAUGCCAAUGGCACUGCCCGGUAGCUAAAUGCGGAAGAGAUAAGUGCUGAAAGCAUCUAAGCACGAAACUUGCCCCGAGAUGAGUUCUCCCUGACUCCUUGAGAGUCCUGAAGGAACGUUGAAGACGAC